rnacentral:rRNA from 1 species
GCAGUCGCCACGGUAAUACGUAGGGGGCAAGCGUUAUCCGAAUUUACUGGGUGUAAAGGGAGCGCAGGCGGUGCGGCAAGUCUGAUGUGAAAGCCCGGGGCUCAACCCCGGGACUGCAUUGGAAACUGUCGUACUUGAGUAUCGGAGAGGUAAGUGGAAUUCCUAGUGUAGCGGUGAAAUGCGUAGAUAUUAGGAGGAACACCAGUGGCGAAGGCGGCUUACUGGACGAUAACUGACGCUGAGGCUCGAAAGCGUGGGGAGCAAACAGGAUUAGAUACCCGCGUAGUCCCUGUCUCUUAUAA